UACGUAGGGGGCAAGCGUUGUCCGGAUUCAUUGGGCGUAAAGAGCGUGUAGGCGGCCAGGUAGGUCGGUUGUGAAAACUGGAGGCUCAACCUUCAGAGGUCGACCGAAACCAUCUGGCUAGAGUCCGGGAGAGGAGAGUGGAAUUCCUGGUGUAGCGGUGGAAUGCGUAGAGAUCCGGAAGAACACCGGUGGCGAAGGCGGCCGCUGGGCAGUUUAGCUGACACUGAGGCGCGACAGCGUGGGGAGCAAACAGG
rnacentral:rRNA from 1 species